UACGUAGGGUGCAAGCGUUGUCCGGAAUUAUUGGGCGUAAAGAGCUCGUAGGCGGUUUGUCGCGUCUGCUGUGAAAUCCCGAGGCUCAACCUCGGGUCUGCAGUGGGUACGGGCAGACUAGAGUGUGGUAGGGGAGAUUGGAAUUCCUGGUGUAGCGGUGGAAUGCGCAGAUAUCAGGAGGAACACCAAUGGCGAAGGCAGCUCGCUGGGACGUGACUGACGCUGAGACGCGAAAGCGUGGGGAGCAAACAGG
rnacentral:rRNA from 1 species